GACGAACGCUGGCGGCGUGCUUAACACAUGCAAGUCGAACGAAGUGGCGAACGGGUGAGUAACGCGUAAUCAACCUGCCCUUCAGAGGGGGACAACAGUUGGAAACGACUGCUAAUACCGCAUACUGAAGGAGGGGAUUGCGUUGUAAUGGCUGGUUGGGGGGGUAACGGCCCACCAAGGCGAAGAUCAGUAGCCGGUUGUAUGUGAUGAACGGCCAAAUUGGGACUGGGACACGGGCCAGAAUCCUACGGGAGGCCGCAGGUGGGAAUCUUCCGCAAUGGACGAAAGUCUGACGGAGCAACGCCGCGUGAGUGAUGACGGCCUUCGGGUUGUAAAGCUCUGUUAAUCGGGACGCGGUACCGGAAUAGAAAGCCACGGCUAACUACGUGCCAGCAGCCGCGGUAAUUC
rnacentral:rRNA from 1 species